ensembl:lncRNA
AACAGUUUUUGUACAAUCAAAUGUUGUUUGGAUAGAAAGAAUAGGAGGUGAGUACCACAAUCACAUGCAGCUGACAAGAGGAAAUUAUGUGUCUGUAGAAUCUGAAGCAGAAGUCAGUGUAGCUCUCACAUUGCAUCAUGUAACUUGAUGUUUAUUUUUUUAGUGACAGAUAAUGAAUCACGGGACGUCCCAUUGUUUUAUGAAAUGGGAGUGGCUGUAGGGGCUGGUCUUUAGGGAUUUCUAACAUAGAAGUAAACAAUACAUGUGCCAAAUAUUGCAGAGAGAGACUUCUUCUGGACAUACUUACUUCAUCUGGCACCAUGAGAAUGGAUCUAGAGAAAGCUGGAGACAAAGAAACUAGUCUGGAUCUGGAAUCAGAGCCUGAAAACCCUUUCUUACCCUCUAGAGAUCUGUUAGAACCACUUGGUCAUUAUGAAUGGACAUUUCGUGACCAUGGAAGGAAAAAAUUAGUUCCACCUCCAGAGAUGAUGCAAAGGUUCAGUAUACAGAGAAACAACUCCGUUUUUGUGGAAUGCAGGUAAGACAUCUCUGUUUAAUUGUAAUCCUAGAAAGUUGCUAAUACAGUAGAGUCUCACUAAUCCAAGCCUCGCUUAUCCAAGCCUCUGGAUAAUCCAAGCCAUUUUUGUAGUCAAUGUUUCCAAUAUAUCGUGAUAUUUUGGUGCAAAAUUCGUAAAUACAGUAAUUACAACAUAACAUUACUGCGUAUUGAACUACUUUUUCUGUCAAAUUUGUUGUAUAACAUGAAGUUUUGGUGCUUAAUUUGUAAAAUCAUAACCUAAUUUGAUGUUUAAUAGGCUUUUCCUUGAUCAGUCCUUAUAAUCCAAGAUAUUCACUUAUCCAAGCUUCUGCCGGCCCGUUUAGCUUGGAUUAGUGAGACUCUACUGUACCAGCAUGAACUCACUCCAAAGAAGGUGUUGUUGUUGGUACCUACAAACUAAAUCCUAAGGUUCUUUGGAGGCUUUUAAGCAGAGGCUGGAUGGCCAUCUGUCGGGGAUGCUUUGAAUGCGAUUUCCUGCUUCUUGGCAGGGGGUUGGACUGGAUGGCUCAUGCGGUCUCUUCCAACUCUAUGAUUCUAUGAUUCUAUAGGGCUACUGUUUCCAUUCUGUAGCCCACAAGACUGUCCAAAGUAAAAAAAAAAUCUCUUCAUUUUUCCUUACCUGGAAAUAUUUUAAUUUGCUAGAUAUCAACUAGACCUUUACCGACUAAUGCUUUGGAACGGAAAAAAAACCCAUGUUGUAUUGCAUGAAAAAUGAUCAGUGUGUCUGGCUUCCUGUCUUGCAGUUAUGGAUUAAUAACCUAGAGCUAUGGAUCCAUAACUGCUUUCUUUAGAAUAGAAAAAAAAUUAACCCCUGCCUAAUUUCAAACUCAGCCAGGUGUGAUAAACAGCAAAUUUAACAGUCCAGUCCAGUAGGGAAAUCCAGUGCAAACGUGGCAAAAUAUCACAAAAUGAGCAGAGAAAUUUGAGGGAGGUUUGCAACGAUGUACUUUGACAAUGUGAAUUCAGAGAUGACAUUGUGAAAUCCUUACAAUAAAAUUGUAAUUCGAGAUGCUAUUUGUAACUCUGAUUAAGUCAUCAUUAUUUCAUUGAUCCUUCAAUUUAAAUGUAUUUACUUAGCUUUUAAAUGAUCACCAUAUCUGUUAUUAGCAUUGUGGGAAGGGGGACUUUAUCAACUGGGUAUCUUGGCUAUUCUGGGAAUGACCCACAUUUCUGGCUGUAACACGAAUGUCAUCUCUUCUGUGCCUGUCAUGCAAACUAAAUACAUAAAUUGGGUUUUCUGGAUCUGUUAUUUAUUUUAUCUGUGACAGCUAUACCUG